rnacentral:rRNA from 1 species
UACGGGGGGAGCAAGCGUUGUUCGGAUUUACUGGGCGUAAAGGGCGCGUAGGCGGUCAGCACAAGUCAGUUGUGAAAUCUCCGGGCUUAACUCGGAAAGGUCAACUGAUACUGUGCGACUAGAGUGCAGAAGGGGCAACUGGAAUUCUCGGUGUAGCGGUGAAAUGCGUAGAUAUCGAGAAGAACACCUGCGGCGAAGGCGGGUUGCUGGGCUGACACUGACGCUGAUGCGCGAAAGCCAGGGAGCGAAGCGGG